CCUUUUAGUUCUGCAACCUCGGGAACUGAGGAUAAUACCUGAUAAGAAAUAUUUUCUGGAAUGAGAUAUUUUUUAAACGCAAGGCUUAAGGAUGAGGCUGCGGCUGAUUAGCUAGUUGUUGGUGUAAUGGACUAACAAGGCGAUGAUCAGUAAGGGCUCUUAGCGGAGAAGCCCUGAGAAGGAAUCUGAGACACUAUUCCUAGCUCUAUGGGGUGCAGCAGCCAAGGAAAUUUUUCAAUGCCCGAAAGGGUGAACGAGUAAGCCAGAGUGUUUUCUUAACGAAAACUUUUGUCUGUUGUAAAAAAACAGACGAAUAAGGACUGGGCAAGACCGGUGCCAGCCGCCGCGGUAAUCCCGGCGGUCCAAGUCGCAUCCACAUUUAUUGGGUCUAAAACAUCCGUAGCUUGUUUUAUAAGUCUCUUGUGAAAUUCCAUAUCUCAAGUAUGGAGCGUGCAAGAGAUACUAUAAGGCUGGAGACCGGAAGACGCAAAGAGUACGAUUGAGGUAGCGGUAAAAUGUGUUAAUCUUGAUCGGACUAACAGUGGCGAAGGCGCUUUGCGAGUACGGAUCUGACAGUGAGGGAUGAAGGCUAGGGGCGCAAAAGGGAUUAGAUACCCCUGUAGUCCUAGCAGUAAACACUGCACACUAAACAUCAGUACCUCUUCGAGAGGUAUUGGUGCUGUAGGGAAGCCGAAGAGUGUGCUACCUGGGAAGUAUAGUCGCAAGACCGAAACUUAAAGGAAUUGGCGGGGGAGCAC
rnacentral:rRNA from 1 species